AAUAAGCGCAACCAUAAGUAUCCGUGUCCAAUUCUGAUCGUUUGUCUUAUUUGAAAUUUUUUUAUGAUUAGUAUUUUUUAUUGUAAUUAGAUUAUAAAAUAUGAAUAGUAUUUUAUACGUGACUUAUAUUUUUUAUGUUUUUUUAAAAGAAUUGAAUAAGACAGACCAUCAAAGUUGGACACGAAAACUUAUGACUGCGUUUAUU
rfam:Oryza barthii chromosome 11, whole genome shotgun sequence.